UCACACCCUAACCCUAAUUUUGAUCACCGCAACACUUUCACAACACUUUCACAACACAUACCACCAUCAAUACCUUCAUCUUCAUCCGAAACAGAUCCAAAUCCGGCCGCACCUUUUUCUCGCCGGAGGACUGCAACCGGGCAGAAAACCGCCGCACGCAGCGCCUGCGUACCAACAUCUACAAACCACCACUAACAACCUUCAUCACCAUCUCCUUGUUCAAACACCCACUUGCUUCAUCCAUCAUUAA